rnacentral:rRNA from 1 species
CCUACGGGCGGCAGCAGUGAGGAAUAUUGGUCAAUGGGAGAGAUCCUGAACCAGCCAAGCCGCGUGAGGGAUGACGGCCCUAUGGGUUGUAAACCUCCUUUGUCGGAGAACAAAACCCGGGACGUGUCCCGUACUGCGUGUAUCCGAAGAAAAAGCAUCGGCUAAAUCCGUGCCAGCAGCCGCGGUAAUACGGAGGAUCCGAGCGUUAUCCGGAUUUAGUGGGUUUAAAGGGUGCGUAGGCGGGACGUUAAGUUAGCGGUGAAAUUUCAGGGCACAACCCGUGCUGUCCGGUUGAAACGGGCAGACUAGAGUAGGGGAGAGGUAGGUGGAAGUCGGGGUGUAGCGGUGAAAUGCGUAGAGA